rnacentral:rRNA from 1 species
GAUGAACGCUGGCGGCGUGCCUAAUACAUGCAAGUCGAGCGAACGGACGAGAAGCUUGCUUCUCUGAUGUUAGCGGCGGAAGGGUGAGUAACACGUGGAUAACCUACCUAUAAGACUGGGAUAACUUCGGGAAACCGUAGCUAAUACCGGAUAAUAUUUUGAACCGCAUGGUUCAAAAGUGAAAGACGGUCUUGCUGUCACUUAUAGAUGGAUCCGCGCUGCAUUAGCUAGUUGGUAAGGUAACGGCUUACCAAGGCAACGAUGCAUAGCCGACCUGAGAGGGUGAUCGGCCACACUGGAACUGAGACACGGUCCAGACUCCUACGGGAGGCAGCAGUAGGGAAUCUUCCGCAAUGGGCGAAAGCCUGACGGAGCAACGCCGCGUGAGUGAUGAAGGUCUUCGGAUCGUAAAACUCUGUUAUUAGGGAAGAACAUAUGUGUAAGUAACUGUGCACAUCUUGACGGUACCCAAUCAGAAAGCCACGGCUAACUACGUG